UUCAUGACGGAGGCGUUGCUGGCCACGUAGUCCAGGGCCAGCCAGAGGUCGCAGGCCAGGGUGCCCAGAGCCCAGUGGCCCAUGAGCAGGAGGAAGGUCUCUUAGGCUCCCCAUUUCCCCGAGGCAGCCGUGGCUCCAAGCGGCCACUAGAGCAGGCCACAGCGACAGAGGAGGUCCCUUCCUGUCCCGGGCCUCAGGCAUCCGUCUGUCCUUGGAAGACUGGGGUCUCUUCCCACCUGCCGCUAUGGUUUCAGGGGUUGUAUCAUUGGAAAAAUUCCAAGGGAGAGACAUCGGGCACCGGGCUCUGGUGUUCCUCGGGAACUGGUCUCUGACAGAGAGAUGAGGGCGCUGUGUACCUGUGAGGAGGUCAGGGCAUGACAGGCGGCUGUGACAGCCUGUGACCGAGGGUGUGUGGCUGAGGUCAUCUCCACCGGUCACGGGGUUGGGGCGUGAGAGGGACUCUCAGGAUGGCAGUCGGGAGUGUGACAGAAGGAGUGAGAAGGACCGUCGCUGUCAGCGUGUGCUUGUGCGUCUUGGGCCGUUUGCAUGUCAGGAGGACACAGCACGUCAUGGUGGAAGGGCCUGGACAGCCUGAGCCACACUGGCUCCACUGGGACCCAGGCUGUACCAUUUAUUUCCAGGGUAUGGGAUCGCUGCUGGCGGUGUCAUUGCUGGGUGCCUCAGUUUCCUCAGCUGGAAAACAGGAAUGACACUAGUCCCUGGCGAAUAAAUCAAGGAAUUGUGAGGCCGAAAUGGAUCUAUAGAUGAAGAGUGCCUGGGGCAGGCCUGGCACCACAGGCCUGAACUUGGUUCCCGUUGAUUCUUAGCAUGUGUGCCGGUGAGGGCUUCCUCCUACGAGGGUUUGCUCCUUUUUCUUUUCUUUUCUUUUCUUUUUUUUUUUUUAAAGAU